rnacentral:rRNA from 1 species
UACGGAAGGGGCAAGCGUUGUUCGGAAUCAUUGGGCGUAAAGGGCGCGUAGGUGGUUCUGUAUGUCUACCGUGAAAGCGUACGGCUCAACCGUAUUUUGUCGGUGGAAACUGCAGGACUUGAGGCUGGGAGGGGCUGGUGGAAUUCCCUGUGUAGCGGUGAAAUGCGCAGAUAUCAGGAGGAACACCGAUGGCGAAGGCAGCUCGCUGGGACGGUACUGGACGCUGAGACGCGAAAGCGUGG